CAAUACAACUGCAGUGCAAGC
rnacentral:miRNA from 1 species